UGCCCUGUGUGGGGAGGCUCUUUGAUUCCUGGGGAGGAAGGCUAGAGAACAGGCAGCUCUUUUCUCUCUGCUAGAAAAGAGGAGGCGGCUCCUCACAAGGUUCCUUCCCACAGCUGAGCACUGCCCACAGCUGCCCUUGCCCCUGCCUUUCCACGUUGCACAAGCCCAGCGCACGGUACCCACUGGAUAUGCCCGAGGCCUCCAGAGGAAAGGAAAGGAGGAAAAGGGACAGAAGAAAUGUUCACAGGAACUGCAUAUGGGCCUGCUACUUGUGUCAAAAUGUGACUGAACUCUCUUCCAGCAGCUUACUCUGAGGGAGGUCUGAAUGCCAUAUUGUGAGCGGCCCUGCUGAAAGACCCAUGUGGCAAGGAUCUGAGAUCAUUGGCCAACAGGCUGCAAAGAGUCCUACCAACAGCCAGGCUGGUGUUCUUGGAAGUGGAUCUUCUCCUACUCUCCUACUUGAGAUGACUGCAGCCCCAGCUAACACUUCGAUUGCAGCCUUGUUAAGAUAUCACGGGCCAGACACACCCAGCUAAGUUAUGCCUGAGUUACUAGCCCACAGAAAUGAUAAGAUAAUAAAUAUUUGCUGUUUUAAGCUGCUAAGUUUUGGGUUAAUUUGUUAUACAACAAUGGAUAACUAAUACAAGUGCAGUCAUUGAUCUCAUUGAACACACCCGUAAUUCUUUGGAAAAAUGUCUACUUUCUCACCAAACUAAAAUCCAUUAAUUCCAGUAGUUAGGUGUUUGGCAAUGCCUUUAAAACGAUGCAUAGAAGUACAUGGCCAGGUCUUUAAAAUUGCGUUGCUAGACUGAAGAAGAGCUGUCUGACUUACUGGGCUUCCCACGUUCCUGCCUUCAGUUCCUGGGUUAGUGUCACAGGUUGCGGAUUUUCCACUCCAUCUCCCAGUCAUGUCUCUGGCACUUCCCCCGCUUGGCUCCUAGUAAUCAACUUUGGCUGACCUCUAACUCUCCACCUCCUGGACCACAAAAUAAACCCAAUGCUCUGAUCAUAGCUCCUCUGCAACUAUGUUUACUCCUUGGUUUGGGAUCUGCCCAGACUCUCAUUACGCCUGCCAUAGCAUUAUCCCUCUGUCCUGUACCUACGGAUGAAGCAAACCAUUGAUUUCUCCAACUAUGCUAAGUAAGAGCAAGUCAUAUUUGUGAAUCCCUGGAAGGCAAGAUCGCCAUUCUGGUCUCUUGUGGAUAUCAAUGCUGAUCUCAGCUUCUGAUGCACGGCAGUCAAUUAAUAAAUGAUUGUUGCCUGAAAAACUGAGCCCCAAAACAAUAUUACAAGUUUAAUAUCAGUAAAGGAUUUAAUGCUUUCUAACAUGAAGAUACCAGAAGUUGCUGAUUUUUGUAUAACCCAGAGAUGGAUUUAAAUGCAGAGUGUAUGAACUUCUUCAUUCCUGAGGGAGGACUUAUGAUUUCAUGAGAAAUGCCCUAGGAAAGGGGCCGGGGAGACUGAUGGAGAAGAAGAGUUUGGGAGGGAAGCCCCAAGGACCAUCUGCCCCAUCAGAGUCACAUGCAGAGGGUCCUGCUCCUGCCGUUGGAAGUUGGCUUCCUGAGCUGCUGAACGUGCCAGUCCUGCUGACCCACUCUCAGAUAUCACAGGCACCCGCUGUGUCUGACAGAGACCUUUCUGCAAGUACACGUGCAGGUCUGCUCUGCAAAGGCGUUAUCAUCUGCAGAUUAUUGCACAGAGUGGCUACGAGCUGUGGUGUGAUCCUGUCACAGAGAGAGCCUGGUCACGUUUUCAGAACAGCAGGAAACAGGUACACCUGUAAGCUUAUACUUAUCAGAUUUAAAAAUAAAACAAAAAAUCCAUGCUAUUCCAUGAAAAUCGGACUCAAAUAAACUUAGUCACUGAUCUGUGAAGUAAAUAAUCUGAUGGUAAUGCAUCAGUUGACACUUGGGCCUGGGUUUUUAGGCACUAAUGAAAGCCAGGGGCAAAAUAAUUUUUAAUCUACCAUUAUUUCCCUUGAUGGUUC
rnacentral:lncRNA from 1 species